rnacentral:rRNA from 1 species
CCUACGGCGGCAGCAGUGGGGAAUAUUGGACAAUGGGCGAAAGCCUGAUCCAGCCAUGCCGCGUGUGUGAAGAAGGCCUUCGGGUUGUAAAGCACUUUCAGUGGGGAAGAAAGCCUUGGGGCUAAUACCCUCGAGGAAGGACAUCACCCACAGAAGAAGCACCGGCUAACUCCGUGCCAGCAGCCGCGGUAAUACGGAGGGUGCGAGCGUUAAUCGGAAUUACUGGGCGUAAAGCGCGCGUAGGCGGUCUGAUAAGCCGGUUGUGAAAGCCCCGGGCUCAACCUGGGAACGGCAUCCGGAACUGUCAGGCUAGAGUGCAGGAGAGGAAGGUAGAAUUCCCGGUGUAGCGGUGAAAUGCGUAGAGAUCGGGAGGAAUACCAGUGGCGAAGGCGGCCUUCUGGACUGACACUGACGCUGAGGUGCGAAAGCGUGGGUAGCAAACAGGAUUAGAUACCCCGGUAGUC